GAUCUUAGGGGAAAAAAAAAUUCUGAUAUCAAUAUACUGGCCGGUAUUCUUUAUAUAUAAUCUAUAUAAUUUUGAGA